UAGGGAAUCUUCGGCAAUGGGGGCAACCCUGACCGAGCAACGCCGCGUGAGUGAAGAAGGUUUUCGGAUCGUAAAGCUCUGUUGUAAGUCAAGAACGAGUGUGAGAGUGGAAAGUUCACACUGUGACGGUAGCUUACCAGAAAGGGACGGCUAACUACGUGCCAGCAGCCGCGGUAAUACGUAGGUCCCGAGCGUUGUCCGGAUUUAUUGGGCGUAAAGCGAGCGCAGGCGGUUUGAUAAGUCUGAAGUUAAAGGCUGUGGCUCAACCAUAGUUCGCUUUGGAAACUGUCAAACUUGAGUGCAGAAGGGGAGAGUGGAAUUCCAUGUGUAGCGGUGAAAUGCGUAGAUAUAUGGAGGAACACCGGUGGCGAAAGCGGCUCUCUGGUCUGUAACUGACGCUGAGGCUCGAAAGCGUGGGGAGCGAACAGGAUUAGAUACCCUGGUAGUCCACGCCGUAAACGAUGAGUGCUAGGUGUUGGAUCCUUUCCGGGACUCAGUGCCGCAGCUAACGCAUUAAGCACUCCGCCUGGGGAGUACGACCGCAAGGUUG
rnacentral:rRNA from 1 species